rnacentral:rRNA from 1 species
GAAUAUUGGACAAUGGCCGGAAGGCUGAUCCAGCCAUGCCGCGUGCGGGAAGACGGCACUAUGGGUUGUAAACCGCUUUUGCGAGGGAGCAAUAAGGUCCACGUGUGGGCCGAUGAGAGUACCCCGCGAAUAAGCAUCGGCUAACUCCGUGCCAGCCGCCGCGGUAAUACGGAGGAUGCAAGCGUUAUCCGGAUUUAUUGGGUUUAAAGGGUGCGCAGGCGGCUUGUUAAGCGGGAGGUGAAAUGCCGGCGCUCAACGUCGGAAGUGCCUCCCGAACUGGUGAGCUUGAAUGACUCUGCCGUGGGAGGAAUGUGUAGUGUAGCGGUGAAAUGCUUAGAGAUUACACAGAACACCGAUUGCGAAGGCAUCUCACGAAGGGUUGAUUGACGCUGAGGCACGAAAGCGUGGGGAUCAAACAGG